rnacentral:rRNA from 1 species
UACGAAGGGGGCUAGCGUUGCUCGGAAUCACUGGGCGUAAAGGGUGCGUAGGCGGGUCUUUAAGUCAGGGGUGAAAUCCUGGAGCUCAACUCCAGAACUGCCUUUGAUACUGAGGAUCUUGAGUUCGGGAGAGGUGAGUGGAACUGCGAGUGUAGAGGUGAAAUUCGUAGAUAUUGGGAAGAACACCGGUGGCGAAGGCGGCGACCUGGUCCGAUACUGACGCUGAGGCGCGAAAGCGUGGGGAGCAAACAGG